AAGAGCCGGAUGCCGACAAUCUGCAAGUCCGGUUCUGUGAGGGGUACGGGAAGGUGACUUCCAUAUCUACUCGAC
rfam:Clostridium grantii DSM 8605 genome assembly, contig: EJ34DRAFT_scaffold00010.10